UAGGCAGACUCGAAGGUAUGUGACUGCCAGACCGGGCACGAGAAGACGAUCACCGGGCUUAUGGCGAUGCUGGCAGGGUCCAGCACCAUCUACGGUCCUG
rfam:Actinobacteria bacterium RBG_16_64_13 RBG_16_scaffold_20559, whole genome shotgun sequence.